rnacentral:rRNA from 1 species
CGACGAUGAUGCCCAGCUUGCUGGGCGGAUUAGUGGCGAACGGGUGAGUAAUACGUGAGUAACCUGCCCUUGACUCUGGGAUAAGCCUGGGAAACUGGGUCUAAUACUGGAUACUACCGUCCACCGCAUGGUGGGUGGUGGAAAGGGUUCUACUGGUUUUGGAUGGGCUCACGGCCUAUCAGCUUGUUGGUGGGGUAAUGGCUCACCAAGGCGACGACGGGUAGCCGGCCUGAGAGGGUGACCGGCCACACUGGGACUGAGACACGGCCCAGACUCCUACGGGAGGCAGCAGUGGGGAAUAUUGCACAAUGGGCGGAAGCCUGAUGCAGCGACGCCGCGUGAGGGAUGACGGCCUUCGGGUUGUAAACCUCUUUCAGUAGGGAAGAAGCGAGAGUGACGGUACCUGCAGAAGAAGCGCCGGCUAACUACGUGCCAGCAGCCGCGGUAAUACGUAGGGCGCAAGCGUUGUCCGGAAUUAUUGGGCGUAAAGAGCUCGUAGGCGGUUUGUCGCGUCUGCUGUGAAAGCCCGGGGCUCAACCCCGGGUCUGCAGUGGGUACGGGCAGACUAGAGUGCAGUAGGGGAGACUGGAAUUCCUGGUGUAGCGGUGAAAUGCGCAGAUAUCAGGAGGAACACCGAUGGCGAAGGCAGGUCUCUGGGCUGUUACUGACGCUGAGGAGCGAAAGCAUGGGGAGCGAACAGGAUUAGAUACCCUGGUAGUCCAUGCCGUAAACGUUGGGCACUAGGUGUGGGGGACAUUCCACGUUUUCCGCGCCGUAGCUAACGCAUUAAGUGCCCCGCCUGGGGAGUACGGCCGCAAGGCUAAAACUCAAAGGAAUUGACGGGGGCCCGCACAAGCGGCGGAGCAUGCGGAUUAAUUCGAUGCAACGCGAAGAACCUUACCAAGGCUUGACAUUCACCGGACCGCCCCAGAGAUGGGGUUUCCCUUCGGGGCUGGUGGACAGGUGGUGCAUGGUUGUCGUCAGCUCGUGUCGUGAGAUGUUGGGUUAAGUCCCGCAACGAGCGCAACCCUCGUUCUAUGUUGCCAGCACGUGAUGGUGGGGACUCAUAGGAGACUGCCGGGGUCAACUCGGAGGAAGGUGGGGAUGACGUCAAAUCAUCAUGCCCCUUAUGUCUUGGGCUUCACGCAUGCUACAAUGGCCGGUACAAAGGGUUGCGAUACUGUGAGGUGGAGCUAAUCCCAAAAAGCCGGUCUCAGUUCGGAUUGAGGUCUGCAACUCGACCUCAUGAAGUCGGAGUCGCUAGUAAUCGCAGAUCAGCAACGCUGCGGUGAAUACGUUCCCGGGCCUUGUACACACCGCCCGUCAAGUCACGAAAGUUGGUAACACCCGAAGCCGGUGGCCUAACCCCUUGUGGGAGGGAGCCGUCGAAG